rnacentral:rRNA from 1 species
GAUGAACGCUGGCGGCGUGCCUAAUACAUGCAAGUCGAGCGAACGGACGAGAAGCUUGCUUUUCUGAUGUUAGCGGCGGACGGGUGAGUAACACGUGGAUAACCUACCUAUAAGACUGGGAUAACUUCGGGAAACCGGAGCUAAUACCGGAUAAUAUUUUGAACCGCAUGGUUCAAAAGUGAAAGACGGUCUUGCUGUCACUUAUAGAUGGAUCCGCGCUGCAUUAGCUAGUUGGUAAGGUAACGGCUUACCAAGGCAACGAUGCAUAGCCGACCUGAGAGGGUGAUCGGCCACACUGGAACUGAGACACGCUCCAGACUCCUACGGGAGGCAGCAGUAGGGAAUCUUCCGCAAUGGGCGAAAGCCUGACGGAGCAACGCCGCGUGAGUGAUGAAGGUCUUCGGAUCGUAAAACUCUGUUAUAGGGAAGAACAUAUGUGUAAGUAACUGUGCACAUCUUGACGGUACCUAAUCAGAAAGCCACGGCUAACUACGUG